rnacentral:rRNA from 1 species
GAUGAACGCUGGCGGCGUGCCUAAGGCAUGCAAGUCGUGGGACAGGUUUUUUUGUAGCAAUACCGAGAAACACUGACCGGCAAACGGGAGAGUAACACAUUGAUAACUUACCUUUAAGACGAGGAUAGCCCACCGAAAGGUGGAUUAAUACUCGAUAGACAUGGGGGGGCGGUGAGGCCAUUCCCAUGUAAAACUUACGGUGCUUAGAGAGAGGUCUAUGUCUGAUUAGUUAGUUGGUGGGGUAAUGGCCUACCAAGACGAUGAUCAGUACCGGGCGUGAGAGCGUGACCCGGCUCACUGGGACUGAGAUACUGCCCAGACACCUACGGGUGGCUGCAGUCAGGAAUAUUCCGCAAUGCACGAAAGUGUGACGGAGCGACGCCGCGUGCAGGAAGAAGCCCCUCGGGGUGUAAACUGCUUUUAUAUGGGAAGAAUUUUUGACGGUACCAUAUGAAUAAGAGGUUGCAAACUCUGUGCCAGCAGCCGCGGUAAAGUGCGCG